GACGAACGCUGGCGGCGUGCCUAACACAUGCAAGUCGAACGGACAGGCCCUGCUUUUGUGCGGUCCUCUAGUUGCGACCUGGUGAGUAACACUUGAGUACCCUGCCCCUCACUUUGGGAUAUCUUCAUGCCACUGGGGCUCUUACCGGAUAGGAUCUCCUGCUGCAUGGUGGGCGUUGGAAUGUUUCGGCGGUUGGGGAUGGACUCGCGGCUUAUCAGCUUGUUGGUGGGGUAGUGGCUUACCAAGGCUUUGACGGGUAGCCGGCCUGAGAGGGUCACCGGACAAGUUGGGACUGAGAUACGGCCCAGACUACUACGGGAGGCAGCAGAGGGGAGUAUAGCACAAUGGGAGGGAGGAUGGUGCAGCAACGCCGCGUGCGGGAAAACGGGCUGCGGGUUGUAAAGCACUAUCGCCUGUGACGAAGCGUGAGUGACGGUAAUGGGUAAAGAAGCACCGGCUAACUACGUG
rnacentral:rRNA from 1 species